rnacentral:rRNA from 1 species
AGUUCGGACUGUAGGCUGCAACUCGCCUACACGAAGUCGGAAUCGCUAGUAAUCGCGGAUCAGCACGCCGCGGUGAAUACGUUCCCGGGCCUUGUACACACCGCCCGUCACACCAUGGAAGUCUGCAAUGCCCGAAGCCGGUGGCCUAACCACUUAUGUGGAAGGAGCCGUCUAAGGCAGGGCAGAUGACUGGGGUGAAGUCGUAACAAGGUAAC